rnacentral:rRNA from 1 species
UAGUUUUUUUAGAAAUAAAUUUAAUUUACAAAUUUUUAAUUUUUAAUUUAUUUUUUUAAUUUAAAAAUUUAUUAAUUUGAAUAUUUUAAGGGAUAAGCUUUAAAAUAAAAUAUUAAAAAUCAUUGAAUAAUUUAUUUAAAAUGUAUGCAUAGAAUUAGCAAUCAUUUAUAAGUUUGUUAUAAAUUAUUUUAUAAUUUAUAUUAUUUAGUUUUGUUUUCAUUGAAUUUAUAAAAAUUUUUUUAUUAAUUUUAAAAUAAAAAGUAAUAAUGAUCAAAUUAGUAUAUUUAAUUAUAUUGUUAAAAUAUUUUAUAUUGAGAAGUUUAUAUAAAGAACUCGGCAAAUUUUAUUUAUACUCGCCUGUUUAACAAAAACAUGUCUUUUUGAAUUAAAUUUAAAGUCUGACCUGCCCACUGAAUAAUUUUAAAUGGCCGCAGUAUUUUGACUGUGCAAAGGUAGCAUAAUCAUUAGUCUUUUAAUUGGAGGCUGGUAUGAACGGUUGGACGAAGUAUAAACUGUUUCAUAUAAAUUUAUAAUAGAAUUUUAUAUUUUAGUUAAAAAGCUAAAAUUUUAUUAAAAGACGAGAAGACCCUAUAAAUCUUUAUAUUUAAUAUAAACUAAAUUUUUUUGAUUUAUUUUAUUUUUUUUAUAUUAAUUAUUUUGUUGGGGUGAUAUUAAAAUUUAAUGAACUUUUAAUUUUUUAAAUCAUUAAUUUAUGAAUUAUUGAUCCAUUAAUAUUGAUUAUAAGAUUAAGUUACUUUAGGGAUAACAGCGUAAUUUUUUUUGAGAGUUCAUAUCGACAAAAAAGUUUGCGACCUCGAUGUUGGAUUAAGGUAUAAUUUUGGGUGUAGCCGUUCAAAAAUUAAGUCUGUUCGACUUUUA